GAUCCUGGCUCAGGAUGAACGCUGGCGGCGCGCUUAACACAUGCAAGUCGAACGGUUAAAGCCCCUUCGGGGGUGCAUAAAGUGGCGAACGGCUGAGUAACACGUGGGCAACCUGCCCCCCGCACCGGGAUGGCCUCGGGAAACCGUGGGUAAUACCGGAUACUCCGGCACCACCGCAUGGCGGUGCCGGGAAACGCGUACACGGCGGGGGAUGGGCCCGCGGCCUGUUAGCUCGUUGGCGGGGUAACGGCCCACCAAGGCGAUUAUGGGUAGCCGGGUUGAGAGACCGACCGGCCAGAUUGGGACUGAGACACGGCCCAGACUCCUACGGGAGGCAGCAGUGGGGAAUCUUGCACAAUGGGCGAAAGCCUGAUGCAAGCGACGCCGCGUGCGGGAAGAAGGCCCUCGGGUUGUAAACCGCUUUCAGCAGGGACGAGGCGCAAGUGACGGUACCUGCAGAAGAAGCCCCGGCUAACUACGUGCCAGCAGCGGC
rnacentral:rRNA from 1 species